UAUCUCUGUAGAGUCUGCAUAUCAAUAAGCGGAGGAAAAGAAACUAACUAGGAUUCCCUCUAGUAACGGCGAGUGAAGCGGGAAGAGCUCAAAUUUGAAAUCUUCAAGGUUUUACCUUGACGAAUUGUAGUUUAAAGAAGUGUUUUCUGUUGGAAGUUUUCGGUAAAAGUUCUUUGGAAUAGGACAUCACAGAGGGUGAGAAUCCCGUAUUUGACCAGUUAUUUUCAGCUUUGUGAUACACUUUCAAAGAGUCGGAUUGUUUGGGAAUGCAGUCCAAAAUGGGUGGUAAAUCUCAUCUAAAGCUAAAUAUUGGCGAGAGACCGAUAGCGAACAAGUACCGUGAGGGAAAGAUGAAAAGAACUUUGAAAAGAGAGUUAAACAGUACGUGAAAUUGUCAAAAGGGAAGCGUUUGACACCAGUGUUGUUUUCUCGAAAAUCAAUUAAAAAUGGCUUGAUUUUGUGUUGUAUUGACCUUAAAAGCUUUCUUCACUUUUUUCAUGUCUUUUUUAAUGCACUUUUCGUUUAACAAGUCAACAUCAGUUUCUUUUGUUGUAAAAAGGUCAUUGGAAGGUGGCUUUCUUUUCGGAGAAAGUGUUUAUAGCCUUUGACUUCUGCAAUCGGAGAGACUGAGGUCUGCAGCGUAGAUCCUUCUGGAUUAGAUUCAUUUGUGCUAAGUUACAACCGUUUAUAGACAACUUGUUGACUAUAUUCGAUCCUGUAGCUUACUCGCUUAUGUAAUUUUACCUACGCUUAGGAUGUUGAAGAUGUAGCACAUCAU
rnacentral:rRNA from 1 species